GUCCAUGCCGUAAACGGUGGGCGCUAGGUGUAGGGGACUUCCACGUCUUCUGUGCCGCAGCUAACGCAUUAAGCGCCCCGCCUGGGGGAGUACGGCCGCAAGGCUAAAAACUCAAAGGAAUUGACGGGGGCCCGCACAAGCGGCGGAGCAUGUGGAUUAAUUCGAUGCAACGCGAAGAACCUUACCUGGGCUUGACAUACACCGGACCGGGCUAGAGAUAGCCCUUCCCUUGUGGCCGGUGUACAGGUGGUGCAUGGUUGUCGU
rnacentral:rRNA from 1 species